rnacentral:lncRNA from 1 species
ACUAUGUAAGAAGAAUUAUGGUUUGAACUACGUAACAAUUACCUAGACAUCUUUUGGACUUCAGUUAACCUAAAUUAACUCUGCAAAAAGCGCUGUGGAGAACCUGGGUUUUAAUCUAGGGUUUUGCAAGUUCAUGCACCUGGCAGUGGCCUAAGGCGCAGAAGGACCAAACUGAGGUGUCAAGCACUGCAGUAGAUUCUGAAGAUACAAAAAUAAAUAAAACAUUCCUGCCCUCAAGACACUUACACUCUUAUGUGUAACACUGUGUGACCAUUCAUCUGGGCCUUCCUGAGACAGUCUUGGUUUACACCUGUUUUCCCAAUCAGAGCAUCACUGCCUUUCCCACUAUUCUCCUGCAGAAGAGCAGGGGAAGGAAGCACCAGGGUCCAUCAUGGAGGAAGGGUGUUGCCCUGAACAGCUGACACACCCUCAGCAAUGAAGCUUAGUUUUGCUGGAACUUUUCAGUUGUGACAACUGAGAUUCAGAGAUGUCCAAUCUACUCACAUAAAUAGCCUGGUUGAAGAUGGCUGAGCGUAAAACAGAAUGCAAGUCAGCUGGAGCACGUACUACUGGAGGCAGAGCCCCAUGAGAAGGGGCCAAGAACCCGCACCCAUCAAAAUCAAGAAGAAAGGCUGAACCCGGAGAGAAAAGGGAGCAACUGAUGUUGCCAUGCAGAUCCCUUGGUUGCUAUGAGAUGGUAACAUCACUCUGCCCCACCAUUGGCCAGUGCCUCCUCAGCUGCGGUGCCUCCCAGGCUGUGUGGUUCUCACGCGGGCCACUGACACAGAGCUGUUACUAUGGUGAACUUUACAAUUUCCUUUGAUUGGUGGAUUUCAGAAAUAGGCCAUCAGCGGAAUUCAUUAUAUUCAGCUAAGUAAAAAUGAAAAAUAAAUACUAUAACUUUCCCCUCAUCACUAACAUGAAGGAAACGUGACCCUUCAUGACAUAAUAAAUCGCUGUUCGGUAACUUAGGAUCCUUCAGGGGACUGAAGCGGGAUGAUCCUCCUAUGCCAAAUUUGGGUGGGAAAGAUAUUCCCUGUAGCUUUGAGUCGACUCUUCAGAGUUAAGGGCAGUGGGCCAACCAGAGUUGGAACUUCAGAGUUGGGAGGAGGUGUGGGAUGGGGCAUGCAUUGAAAUGUAAACUCUAUUGUCUCUGAAGUGAUGGGUGAUGCUGGGGGCCUGAGUGUGGAGGGCAGUUUUACAUCUCAGGACAAUGUUUUCUCAGAUGCUCUUCCAGAAAGAAAAGCCAGGAGUACUCCUGGCUGGAGGCGGCAUGCCUGAGGUCAGAGUCAAAGUAGGGUUUGUGCUGUCUGAAUCCUUUCUCCCACUCUCCCCAGCCUGGCUCAGCUUCUCAGCUUCUCAGGUGGAUUGGUGAGUCCUGGCCAAUUACGCUUCAGCUCAUCUCUACUCUCAGCAAAUAGGAAAAGGGAGUGAAGGACUGAGUUUUAACUCUUCUAAUUUCGUAACCUGACUCUCUAUAAGAAAAAGUAGGAGAAAGACUGAAGAACCCGAGAGAACAGGCCUCUGAGCCCAAGCCAAGCCAUCGCAUCCCCUGUGACUUGCCCGUAUAUAUGCCCAGAUGGCCUGAAGUAACUGAAGAAUCACAAAAGAAGUGAAUAUGCCUUGCCCCACCUUGACUGAUGACAUUCCACCACAAAAGAAGUGUAAAUGGCCGGUCCUUGCCUUAACUGAUGACAUUACCUUGUGAAAGUCCUUUUCCUGGCUCAUCCUGGCUCAAAAAGCACCCCCACUGAGCAUCUUGCGACUCCCACUCCUGCCCACUGAGCACCUUGUGACCCCCACUCCUGCCUGCCAGAGAACAAACCCCCUUUGACUGUAAUUUUCCUUUACCUACCCAAAUCCUAUAAAACGGCUCCACCCUUAUCUCCUUUUGCUGACUCUCUUUUCUGACUCAGCCCGCCUGCACCCAGGAGAUUAAAAGCUUUAUUGCUCACACAAAGCCUGUUUGGUGGUCUCUUCACAUGGAUAUGCAUGAAAUUUGGUGCCGUGACUCGGAUCGGGGGACCUCCCUUGGGAGAUCAAUCCCCUGUCCUCCUGCUCUUUGCUCCGUGAGAAAGAUCCACCUACGACCUCAGGUCCUCAGACCGACCAGCCCAAGAAACAUCUCACCAAUUUCAAAUCCAGUAAGCAGCCUCUUUUUACUCUCUUCUCCAACGUCCCUCACUACCCCUCAACCUCUUUCUCCUUUCAAUCUUGGUGCCACACUUCAAUCUCUCCCCUCUCUUAAUUUCAAUUCCUUUCAUUUUCUGGUAGAGACAAAAGAGACACGUUUUAUCCAUGAACCCAAAACUCCGGCGCCGGUCACGGAAGGCAGCCUUCCCUUGGUGUUUAAUCAUUGCAGGGACGCCUCUCUGAUUAUACACUCACGUUUCAAGGGUGUCAGAC